AUUGAACGCUGGCGGGAUGCUUAACACAUGCAAGUCGAACGAGUGGCGGACGGGUGAGUAAUGUAUAGUAACCUUCCCCUUCGCGGGGGAUCACUACUGGAAAACGUAGCUUAUACCGCAUACUAUCUGAUCGGCCCAUAUCGGAUUAGCUUGUUGGUGGGGUAACGGCUAACAAAGGCGACGAUCCCUAGCUGGUUUGAGAGGAGGACCAGCCACACUGGGACUGGGACACGGCCCAGACUCCUACGGGGGGCAUCAGGGGGGAAUUUUGGACAAUGGGGGAAAGCCUGAUGCAGACAUCCCGCGUGGAUGAGGAAGGCCUUCGGGUUGUAAAGUACUUUAAGCGGGGAGGCGGUACCUGAAGAAUAAGCACCGGCUAACUACGUGCCAGCAGCCGCGGUAAUUC
rnacentral:rRNA from 1 species